GACGUAGGGGGCCAGCGUUGUUCGGAAUUACUGGGUGUAAAGGGUUCGUAGGCGGUGUGGCAAGUCGGGAGUGAAAUCUCUGGGCUCAACUCAGAGACUGCUUCCGAAACUGCUGUGCUGGAGUGUGGGAGAGGCGCGUGGAAUUGCAGGUGUAGCGGUGAAAUGCGUAGAUAUCUGGAGGAACACCGGUGGCGAAGGCGGCAUCCUGGACCGGCAUUGACGCUGAGGCGCGAAAGCCAGGGAGCAAAGCGGG
rnacentral:rRNA from 1 species